AGAGAGUUUGAUUCUUGCUUAUGUUGUUUAUUUUAUUUUUGUUUUAUAUGUAAGUUUUUGCGUGGUUGGGCUUAGAAAGUUAUUUUUCUUGAUGGAUUUUUAGGCGGUUUAAUUUUAUUUUUAAUUCUCAUUAUUUUGUAUUAAUAUUCAAGGUUCCUUGUAUUUAGCAAUGCAUUUUAGUUCCGGUUAAAUUUUGUGCCAGCAUCCGCGGUUAUACUUUGGGGGCUUAUAAAUAUGUUUGGAUGUUGCAGUUUUAUUUUUUCUUUGUGAUUGUAUUUUUGUGUUUUUUUGGGUGAAAUUUUUAUAUUUAUUUGUUUUCUUUUUUGGUUUUUUGUUCUGUGAAACUCUUAUUUUAGACUAGGAUUAGAUACCCUAUUAUUUGUGAGUGUUAAUUUUUUUUCUUAGGUAGUAUUAGUUAUGUUCUUGAAACCUAAAGAAUUUGGCGGUAUUUUAUUCCGAUCAGAGGAAUCUGCUCCGUUAUCGAUAGUCCGCGUUGUACCUUACUUAAUUUUGUUGUUUGUAUACCGCCGUGUUUUGAUUAUCAUUUUAGUGUUUAUAAUUUUCUUGAUUCUUUAUUUGGUUGUAUUUCAGGUCAAGGUGCAGCUUUUAUUUAAGUGUGAGGUGGAUUACAUUGAUUUUUUGUUAUUUUGUUGGAUUGUUUAUUGUUAAUUUAUUUUCAUGAAAUUGGAUUUGAUUGUAAUAUUUUGGGAUGAAGAUUGUUCUUGUGAUAUUGGUUCUAAGAUAUGUACACAUCGCCCGUCGCUCUCGUUUUUCAUUGAUGAGAUAAGUCGUAACAAAGUGGUCGUACCGGAAGGUGUGGCUGGAUUGAU
rnacentral:ncRNA from 1 species